rnacentral:lncRNA from 1 species
AUGGAGCCCACCUCCACAAGCUGGUACCAAGAGGUUACUUCCUUGAGCAAACAGCUUGUCCUCCUGUGGAACACAGACACUUACACGGAAUAUCAGCAUCCAACAAGGCUGCUAACGGAUCAUCAAGACGAAGACAAGACCCCUGGGUCAUCACCGAACACGGAUGACCGCAUGAACAUCGUUCGGGCCACAGAAGGACCAAACCUCCCCGGCCCGGCUGCAGGAGCACCGGCUGCUUCACCAGCCCCGGCUCUGGACAGGACCAGACUCCCUUCCCUGUGGGUGAGGGUCACCCAGAACCCCCCUUCCUUCCAGCGGCCGGUCCGGAGCAGACCCCCGCCUCCUCAGGCCCCCCACAUCCCCCAGCACUCCCCCAACACCCUCUAAGUCCUUUCUAACCCCCUUACUGAGUGCCCACGCUGUUGGGGUGGCUCUCCCUGGCACCCCCCCUCCCCCCAGUGUCCACGUCCUAAUCCCCAGAGAGUCUAUUACCUUGCAGGACAAAAGACACUUGGCAGAUGUGAUUAAGGAUCUUCAGAUGGAGGGAUGGUCCUGGGUCACCAAAGUCUUCCUGCAGACCCUCAGACUGAGGGCGAGAGAGCUGGAGGGGAGGUGGGAGGUUCGAGCCCGGCUGGUGGCUGUGCCAGCUGAAAGGGAGACUGUCUGCCGCGGAUACUCCUCUGGUGACAGGGCCCUGGUGGCCGGCUGGGGGAGGUGACCCAGCGCGGCCAGUGGGCAGAAUUGCCGGGCUGGGCUGGAGGGGUGGGGGCUCUGGCCGAGAGCGGGUGGCCGCCUGACUCUCCCUCUGGUUCUGGCUCCAGCAUUAAGAUUCAUCUGCUCUGGGCCUUCGUCCCAGUUGAAACCCAGGCGUCCCUCUGUCUUAGGCGCUGGGUGGCCUGCUGGCCCACUGGUUGGUGGGGGGGGGGUGUGAGUCUGGUUCAAUCUGAGGACCAUUUUCCAUGUUUUCCAUGGGCCUCAUCUAUGCUAGGCUUUGCAUUUGGGGCUGGGCUGCAGAUGGGAGCCCUGGGCAGCUCCGGGGGCAGGGGACCCGGACUCUGAAACCAAUUUGCCACUGGUGUGGCAAGGGCUAUGAUACUGGGAGCCCAGAAAGGGCCCUGGGGAGCUGGAGGGGGAGAUACCCCUCUCUUCCUGGGAGUUCAGUGGCAGUUUCCUACAGAGGGCAGACCUCAGCUGGGGACUCCGGGACCAGCGCUCACCCCCGAGGCCGGUGCCCUUGAGCGUGGAGGUUCCCGUUAAGUACCCCAGGCCUGGUGCCUGCCUGUGAGGGUCUUGGGUUCAGAUCCAGGCACUGAGGCAAGGCAGGGGCGCCUGACAGGGUGAACUCGGCAGGACCCGGCCUGCCAGCCACGUGGGCCUGAUUCUUCUU